GGAUUCGAUCAUACCAGCACUAAAGCACCGGAUCCCAUCAGAACUCCGAAGUUAAGCGUGCUUGGGCGAGAGUAGUACUAGGAUGGGUGACCUCCUGGGAAGUCCUUUUGUUGCAUUCC
rnacentral:rRNA from 1 species